rnacentral:rRNA from 1 species
CGGUUGCUCAACGAUCGAAUUGCCUUUGAAACUGUCAGGCUCGAGUAUGGAUGCGGUAGGCGGAAUGUGUAGUGUAGCGGUGAAAUGCAUAGAUAUUACACAGAACACCGAUUGCGAAGGCAGCUUACCAAACCAGCACUGACGCUGAAGCACGAAAGCGUGGGGAGCGAACAGGAUUAGAUACCCUGGUAGUCCACGCCGUAAACUUUGCUCACUCGCUGUUGGCGAUAGACAGUCAGCGGCCAAGGGAAACCGAUAAGUGAGCCACCUGGGGAGUACGGCCGCAAGGUUGAAACUCAAAGGAAUUGACGGGGGCCCGCACAAGUGGUGGAACAUGUGGUUUAAUUCGAUGAUACGCGAGGAACCUUACCUGGGCUUAAAUGUGAAGUGCAUUGAUUGGAAACAAUCAUUUCCUUCGGGACCCUUUACAAGGUGCUGCAUGGUUGUCGUCAGCUCGUGCCGUGAGGUGUCGGGUUAAGUCCCAUAACGAGCGCAACCCCUAUUGUUAGUUACCAGCGCGUGAUGGCGGGGACUCUAGCGAAACUGCCGGUGUAAACCGCGAGGAAGGUGGGGAUGACGUCAAAUCAGCACGGCCCUUAUGUCCAGGGCUACACACGUGUUACAAUGGCCGGUACAGCGGGCAGCUAGGCAGCGAUGUCAUGCUAAUCCCGAAAGCCGGUCCCAGUUCGGAUUGGAGUCUGCAACCCGACUCCAUGAAGGUGGAAUCGCUAGUAAUCGCGCAUCAGCCAUGGCGCGGUGAAUACGUUCCCGGGCCUUGUACACACCGCCCGUCAAGCCAUGGAAGUCUGGGGUGCCUGAAGGCCGUAACCGCAAGGAGCGGUCUAGGGUA